GCUACGGGAGGCAGCAGUGGGGGAUAUUGCACAAUGGGGGAAACCCUGAUGCAGCGACGCCGCGUGAGUGAAGAAGGAUUUCGGGAUGUAAAGCUCUAGCAGCAGGGAAGAAAAUGACAGUACAUGACCAAGAAGCCCCGGCUAACGACGUGCCAGCAGCCGCGGUAAGACGGCGGGGACACGCCUUAGCCGUAUUUAAUGGGUGGAAAGGGAGCGUAGACGUUUAUGUAAGUCUGGAGUGACAGCCAGGGGCCAAACACCGGGACUGUUUUUGACACUGUGUAACUGGAGUACAGGCGGGGCAGGCUGCAUUCCCUGUGUAGCGGUGCUAUGCGUAGAUAUCCGGAGGA
rnacentral:rRNA from 1 species